ensembl:lncRNA
CCACAACUGCUGCUCCAACAACCACAACUGCAGCUCCAACAACAACAACUGCAGCCCCAACAACAACCACAACUGCUCCCCCAACAACAACAACAACAGCUGCCCCAACAACAACCACAACAACUGCAGUCCCAACAACAACUACUACAGCUGCACCGACAACAACAACUGCAGCUCCAACAACAACUACUGCUGCCCCAACAACAACCACAACAGCCGCCCCAACAACAACAGCUACUGCUGCCCCAACAACAACAACUACAGCUGCCCCAACAACCACAACAGCCGCCCCAACAACAACCACAACAGCUGCACCGACAACAACAACAACAACUACAGCUGCCCCAACAACGACUACAGCUGCCCCAACAACAACCACAACUGCUGCCCCAACAACAACAACUGCAGCUGCCCCAACAACAACUGCAGCCCCAACAACAACUACUACAGCUGCCCCAACAACAACUGCUACAGCUGCACCGACAACAACAACAACAACUGCAGCCCCAACAACAACCACAACUGCCGCCCCAACAACAACCACAACUGCUGCUCCAACAACCACAACUGCAGUUCCAACAACAACAACUAAUGCUGCCCCAACAACAACCACAACUGCUGCUCCCCCAACAACAACAACUACAUCUGCCCCAACAACAACCACAACUGCUGCUCCAACAACAACAACUGCAGCUGCCCCAACAACAACCACAACUGCUGCUCCAACAACCACAACUGCAGCUCCAACAACAACAACUGCAGCCCCAACAACAACAACUACAGCUGCACCCACAACAACCACAACUGCUGCGCCAACAACAACUACAGCUGCCCCAACAACAACUACAGCUGCCCCAACAACAACAACUGCAGCCCCAACAACAACCACAACUGCUCCCCCAACAACAACAACUACAUCUGCCCCAACAACAACCACAACUGCUGCUCCAACAACCACAACUGCAGUUCCAACAACAACAACUACAGCUGCCCCAACAACAACCACAACAGCCGCCCCAACAACAACAACUACUGCUGCCCCAACAACAACAACAGCUGCCCCAACAACAACAACUACUGCUGCCCCAACAACAACCACAACAGCCGCCCCAACAACAACAGCUACUGCUGCCCCAACAACAACAACUACAGCUGCCCCAACAACCACAACAGCUGCCCCAACAACAACUACUACAGCUGCACCGACAACAACAACAACAACUGCAGCCCCAACAACAACCACAACUGCUGCUCCAACAACAACAACUACAUCUGCCCCAACAACAACCACAACUGCUGCUCCAACAACCACAACUGCAUCUGCCCCAACAACAACCACAACUGCUGCUCCAACAACCACAACUGCAGCGCCAACAACAACUGCAGCCCCAACAACAACCACAACAACUGCAGUCCCAACAACAACUACAGCUGCCCCAACAACAACUACAGCUGCCCCAACAACAACAACUGCAGCCCCAACAACAACCACAACUGCUCCCCCAACAACAACAACUACAUCUGCCCCAACAACAACCACAACUGCUGCUCCAACAACCACAACUGCAGUUCCAACAACAACAACUACAGCUGCCCCAACAACAACAACUACAGCUGCCCCAACAACAACCACAACUGCUGCCCCAACAACAACAACAGCUGCCCCAACAACAACCACAACAACUGCAGUCCCAACAACAACAACUAAUGCUGCCCCAACAACAACCACAACAGCCGCCCCAACAACCACAGCUACUGCUGCCCCAACAACAACAACUACAGCUGCCCCAACAACCACAACAGCUGCCCCAACAACAACAACUACAGCUGCCCCAACAACAACAACAACAACUGCAGCCCCAACAACAACCACAACUGCAGCCCCAACAACAACCACAACUGCUCCCCCAACAACAACAACAACUACAUCUGCCCCAACAACAACCACAACUGCUGCUCCAACAACCACAACUGCAGUUCCAACAACAACCACUAAUGCUGCCACAACAACAACCACAACAGCCGCCCCAACAACCACAGCUACUGCUGCCCCAACAACAACAAGUACAGCUGCCCCAACAACCACAACAGCUGCCCCAACAACAACUACUACAGCUGCACCGACAACAACCACAACAGCCGCCCCAACAACAACAGCUACUGCUGCCCCAACAACAACAACAGCUGCCCCAACAACAACCACAACAACUGCAGUCCCAACAACAACUACUACAGCUGCACCGACAACAACCACAACUGCUGCGCCAACAACAACAACUGCAGCUCCAACAACAACAACUAAUGCUGCCCCAACAACAACCACAACAGCCGCCCCAACAACAACAGCUACUGCUGCCCCAACAACAACAAGUACAGCUGCCCCAACAACCACAACAGCAGCCCCAACAACAACUACUACAGCUGCACCGACAACAACAACAACAACUGCAGCCCCAACAACAACCACAACAGCCGCCCCAACAACAACUACAGCUGCCCCAACAACAACAACUGCAGCCCCAACAACAACCACAACUGCUGCUCCAACAACCACAACUGCAGCUCCAACAACAACAACUGCAGCCCCAACAACAACCACAACUGCUCCCCCAACAACAACAACUACAUCUGCCCCAACAACAACCACAACUGCUGCUCCAACAACCACAACUGCAGUUCCAACAACAACAACUACAGCUGCCCCAACAACAGCCACAACAGCCGCCCCAACAACAACAGCUACUGCUGCCUCAACAACAACAACAGCUGCCCCAACAACAACCACAACAACUGCAGUCCCAACAACAACUACUACAGCUGCACCGACAACAACCACAACUGCUGCGCCAACAACAACAACUGCAGCUCCAACAACAACAACUAAUGCUGCCCCAACAACAACCACAACAGCCGCCCCAACAACAACAGCUACUGCUGCCCCAACAACAACAAGUACAGCUGCCCCAACAACCACAACAGCAGCCCCAACAACAACUACUACAGCUGCACCGACAACAACAACAACAACUGCAGCCCCAACAACAACCACAACAGCCGCCCCAACAACAACUACAGCUGCCCCAACAACAACAACUGCAGCCCCAACAACAACCACAACUGCUGCUCCAACAACCACAACUGCAGCUCCAACAACAACAACUGCAGCCCCAACAACAACCACAACUGCUCCCCCAACAACAACAACUACAUCUGCCCCAACAACAACCACAACUGCUGCUCCAACAACCACAACUGCAGUUCCAACAACAACAACUACAGCUGCCCCAACAACAACAACAACAGCCGCCCCAACAACAACAGCUACUGCUGCCCCAACAACAACAACAGCUGCCCCAACAACAACCACAACAACUGCAGUCCCAACAACUACUACAGCUGCACCGACAACAACCACAACUGCUGCGCCAACAACAACAACUGCAGCUCCAACAACAACAACUAAUGCUGCCCCAACAACAACCACAACAGCCGCCCCAACAACAACAGCUACAGCUGCCCCAACAACAACAACUACAGCUGCCCCAACAACGACUACAGCCGCCCCAACAACAACCACAACAGCCGCCCCAACAACAACUACAGCUGCCCCAACAACAACAACUGCAGCCCCAACAACAACCACAACUGCUGCUCCAACAACCACAACUGCAGCUCCAACAACAACAACUGCAGCCCCAACAACAACCACAACUGCUCCCCCAACAACAACAACUACAUCUGCCCCAACAACAACCACAACUGCUGCUCCAACAACCACAACUGCAGUUCCAACAACAACAACUACAGCUGCCCCAACAACAACCACAACAGCCGCCCCAACAACAACAACUACUGCUGCCCCAACAACAACAACUACAGCUGCCCCAACAACCACAACAGCCGCCCCAACAACAACAGCUACUGCUGCCCCAACAACAACAAGUACAGCUGCCCCAACAACCACAACAGCCGCCCCAACAACAACAACUACAGCCCCAACAACAACCACAACAGCCGCCCCAACAACAACAGCUACUGCUGCCCCAACAACAACAAGUACUGCAGCCCCAACAACAACCACAACAGCCGCCCCAACAACAACAGCUACUGCUGCCCCAACAACAACAACUACAGCUGCCCCAACAACCACAACAGCCGCCCCAACAACAACAACUACAGCUGCCCCAACAACAACAACUACAGCUGCCCCAACAACAACCACAACUGCUGCCCCAACAACAACAACUACUGCUGCCCCAACAACAACCACAACAACUGCAGUCCCAACAACUACUACAGCUGCACCGACAACAACCACAACUGCUGCGCCAACAACAACAACUGCAGCUCCAACAACAACAACUAAUGCUGCCCCAACAACAACCACAACAGCCGCCCCAACAACAACAGCUACUGCUGCCCCAACAACAACAAGUACAGCUGCCCCAACAACAACCACAACUGCUGCCCCAACAACAACAACUACAGCUGCCCCAACAACAACCACAACAGCCGCCCCAACAACAACAACUGCAGCUGCCCCAACAACAACCACAACUGCUGCUCCAACAACAACAACUGCAGCUCCAACAACAACAACCACAACAGCCGCCCCAACAACAACAACUGCAGCUGCCCCAACAACAACAACUACUGCUGCCCCAACAACAACAACAACUGCAGCUCCAACAACAACAACUAAUGCUGCCCCAACAACAACCACAACAGCCGCCCCAACAACAACAACUACAGCUGCCCCAACAACAACAAGUACAGCUGCCCCAACAACAACCACAACUGCUGCCCCAACAACAACAACUGCAGCUGCCCCAACAACAACCACAACAGCCGCCCCAACAACAACAACUGCAGCUGCCCCAACAACAACCACAACUGCUGCCCCAACAACAACAACUGCAGCUCCAACAACAACAACUACAGCUGCCCCAACAACAACCACAACUGCUGCCCCAACAACAACAACUACAGCUGCCCCAACAACAACAACAACUGCCGCCCCAACAACAACCACAACUGCCGCCACAACAACAACAACUACAGCUGCCCCAACAACAACCACAACAGCUGCCCCAACAACAACCACAACUGCUGCCCCAACAACAACCACAACUGCUGCGCCAACAACAACUACAGCUGCCCCAACAACAACUACUACAGCUGCACCAACAACAACCACAACUGCUGCGCCAACAACAACAACUACAGCUACUGCUGCCCCAACAACAACAACUACAGCUGCCCCAACAACAACCACAACAGCCGCCCCAACAACAACAACUGCAGCUGCCCCAACAACAACCACAACUGCUGCCCUAACAACAACAACUACUGCAGCCCCAACAACAACUGCUACAGCUGCCCCAACAACCACAACUGCUCCCCCAACAACAACAACUACAUCUGCCCCAACAACAACCACAACUGCUGCUCCAACAACCACAACUGCAGUUCCAACAACAACAACUACAGCUGCUCCAACAACAACAACUACAGCUGCCCCAACAACAACAACUACAGCUGCCCCAACAACGACUACAGCUGCUGCGCCAACAACAACCACAACUGCCGCCCCAACAACAACGACUACAGCCGCCACAACAACAACCACAACAACAGCCCAGACAACAACAACUACAGCUGCCCCAACAACAACCACAACAGCCGCCCCAACAACAACAACAACUACAGCUGCCCCAACAACAACCACAACUGCUGCUCCAACAACCACAACUGCAGCUCCAACAACAACAACUACAGCUGCCCCAACAACCACAACUGCAGCCCCAACAACAACAACUACAGCUGCCCCAACAACAACCACAACUGCUACAGCUGCCCCAACAACAACAACUACAGCCCCAACAACAACAACAACUACAGCUGCCCCAACAACUGCUACAACUGCCCCUACAACAACAACAGCCGCCCCAACAACGACUACAGCUGCCCCAACAACAACUACUGCAGCCCCAACAACAACAACUACAGCUGCCCCAACAACAACCACAACUGCCGCCCCAACAACAACAACUACAGCUGCCCCAACAACAACCACAACAGCCGCCCCAACAACAACAACUACAGCUGCCCCAACAACAACCACAACAGCCGCCCCAACAACCACAACUGCAGCUCCAACAAAAACCACAACAAGCGCCCACACAACAACAACUACAGCUGCCCCAACAACAACCACAACCGCUGCCCCAACAACAACAAUUGCAGUCACAACAACAACAAUUACAGCUGCACCGACAACAACCACAACUGCAGCGCCAACAACAACAACUGCAGCUCCAACAACAACAACUACAGCUGCCCCAACAACAACCACAACUGCUGCGCCAACAACUACAACGCCAGGCCCAACAACAACCACAACAGCCACCCCAAAAACAACUACAGCUGCCCCAACCACAACAGCUGCCCCAACAACUGCUGCUACAGUAGCCCAAACAACAUCCAUAACUGAUGUGCCAACAACUACAACUGCUGCCCCAACAACAAGCACAACAACUACAUUCACAACAACAACUACUACAGGUGCACCAACAACAACAACUACAGCUGCCCCAACAACAACAACUACAGCUGCGCCACCAACCACAACAACAACAACUACAGCUGCCCCAUCAACAACCACAACAACUGCAGUCCCAACAACAACUACUACAGCUGCACCAACAACAACCUCAACAACCACAACUGCUGCGCCAACAACUACAGCUGCCCAAACAACAACCACAACUGCUGCACCAACAACUACAACACCAGGCCCAACAACAACCACAACAGAUGCCCCAACAACAACAACUACUGCUGCCCCAACAACAACCACAACAACUGCUGUACCAACAACAACUAGUACAGCUUCACCAACAACAACCACAACAACCACAACUGUUUCACCAACAACAAUUACAACUACAGUGACAACCACAGCUUCUCAAACAACCACAACCACAACAGCUAGCCCAACAACAACAACUACACCUGCUCCAACAACAACCAUAUCUGCAGCACCAACAACAACCACAACAACCACCCCCACAUCAACAACUACAGGUGCCCAAACAACAACCACAACAACUUCAGUCCCAAAAACAACUACUACAGCUACACCAACAACAACCACGACAACUUUCCAAACUACAACCACAACAGCUGUGCCAACAACUACAACUGCAGCCCCAACAACAACCACAACAACUGCCCCAACAACGACAACUACAGCAUCCCCAUUAACAACCACAACUGCAGCCACGAGCACAGCUGCUUUAACAAGCACAACAGCCGCACCAACUACAACCACAACAGGUGCCCCAACAACAACCACAACAGCAGCCCCAACAACCACGACUGCUGCCCCUACAAGGACCACAACAGCUGCCCCAACAACAUCUACAAUUGCAGCCCCAACUACAACAACUACAGCUGUGGUGACAACAACCUCAACCACAACUACAACAGCUGCCCCAACAACAACCACAGCUGCUCCAACAGCAACCUCAACUACCCCAACAACAACCACAGCCAGUACAACAACAUCUAUAACUACCCCUACAACAACCUCAAGUAUCCCAACAACAAGUACAACCACUACAAAAACCUCAGCAACUACCCCAACAACAAGCACAACUACCCCAACAACUACAACCACUACAACGACAUCAGCAACGACCCGAACAACAACCUCAACUACCCCAACAACAAGUACAACCACUACAAAAACAUCAGCAACUACCCAAAGAACAAGCACAACUACCCCAACAACAACUACAACCACUACAACGACAUCAGCAACUACCCCAACAACAACCACAACCACAGCAACUACAACAACAUCAACAACUACCCCUACAACAACCUCAAGUAUCCCAACCACAAGUACAACCACUACAAAAACCUCAGCAACUACCCCAACAACAAGCACAACUACCCCAACAACUACAACCACUACAACGACAUCAGCAACGACCCCAACAACAACCUCAACUGCCCCAACAACAAGUACAACCACUACAACAACCUCAGCAACCACACCAACAACAACCCCAACAACAACCAGAACUACUGCAAGAACCACUUCCUCUGCCAUGGUGAACAACAUCAGCUUCCUUACAUUAGUUCUGGUUCUGAUGUCACAUGUACUCAGCUCAUAUUUGUAACAUUUUUAAGUUCACAUCCUGAAAAUGAAGUAAUAAACCAAAGUACAUGUGAAGUUUUGAAAUUAUUAAGUAACCAGGUUUACAACCACUACAAAAACCUCAGCAACUACCCCAACAACAAGCACAACUACCCCAACAACUACAACCACUACAACGACAUCAGCAACGACCCCAACAACAACCUCAACUGCCCCAACAACAAGUACAACCACUACAACAACCUCAGCAACCACCCCAACAACAACUUCAACUACCCCAACAACAAGUACAACCACCAGAACAACCUCAGCAACCACCCCAACAACAACCCCAACAACAACCAGAACUACUGCAAGAACCACUUCCUCUGCCAUGGUGAACAACAUCAGCUUCCUUACAUUAGUUCUGGUUCUGAUGUCACAUGUACUCAGCUCAUAUUUGUAACAUUUUUAAGUUCACAUCCUGAAAAUGAAGUAAUAAACCAAAGUACAUGUGAAGUUUUGAAAUUAUUAAGUAACCAGGUUGUAAAGCAUAUUUGAAUUCUUAUUUAUUGUAGUUUUAGGGGGGGGGGGGGGUUCAGAUCAGACAUGUUUGAUGUUUUCCUCCCUGAGAUGUUGUUUGUAUGUGUAUCAUCCAAGCGUGUGAUCAGGGGACUAAUAUUAACAAUAUUGUGAUGUCUACAAUCUCAACACUGAUCUUAUCAUUGCACUUUUCAAAAAUAUCAUAAAUAAAGUCUCUUUGGAUUGAUUAAUGAGUGUCCCCUGACUGUUUUAUGAUGAGAAUGGUUUCUCUUAAUAAUACUUUUUCUACAAACCUGUUCACAGUCACAGCGUAAAAUGUAGCAGCAGAAAAAUGUCACAGAGCAUGUGUGAAACAGCACUGCAACAGUCAGUGUUGUUGGCUGUUUCAGGAGGACAAAAGCAGAGAGACACUUGCAUUCAAGCUGUGUCUGCACACACCUUUAACCAGGACAAUAUCUACCAUUACUUCACCUGCACAUAUUUAUAUGAAUGCUGAUGUUAUCUCAUGUCGCUGGCUUAUAAAACAUCACACUUGCUUUCACUGUGAUGGACAGCUUACAAGUAACAAGUUCUAUUAAAUUAUGAUGUAACUUCAUAU